AGAUGAGUGUUGAGGGUACAAUUCCCCAUAAUGUUAAGAACCUAUUUAUUGAUUUGGCUGAGAGUAUUGCAGGUAGUCUUAAUAUAACUAACUGCUUUGUAUGUGGAGGUACUAAUAUGGGAGACCAAUGGCCAUGGGAGACAAAAGAGAUUUGGUACCCUGGUUCUGAGACAGAUGAACAACAGAUGCCUGCUCAGUCUGAU